rnacentral:rRNA from 1 species
GUCAGCUCGUGUCGUGAGAUGUUGGGUUAAGUCCCGCAACGAGCGCAACCCUUGUCAUUAGUUGCUACGAAAGGGCACUCUAAUGAGACUGCCGGUGACAAACCGGAGGAAGGUGGGGAUGACGUCAGGUCCUCAUGGCCCUUAUGGGUAGGGCUACACACGUCAUACAAUGGCCGGUACAGAGGGCUGCCAACCCGCGAGGGGGAGCCAAUCCCAGAAAACCGGUCGUAGUCCGGAUCGCAGUCUGCAACUCGACUGCGUGAAGUCGGAAUCGCUAGUAAUCGCGGAUCAGCUUGCCGCGGUGAAUACGUUCCCGGGUCUUGUACACACCGCCCGUCACACCAUGGGAGCGGGUUCUGCCAGAAGUAGUUAGCCUAACCGCAAGGAGGGCGAUUACCACGGCAGGGUUCGUGACUGGGGUGAAGUCGUAACAAGGUAGCCGUAA